UCAAGUUUAAACCCUAAAUUGAAGAUCAAAUCAAGCCCGAAUCGUCUGCAUGAUUACAAAUUCGUGAUCACCUAGUCGUGGGGAUCUCAAGUUUGACGCGUAACAAGCUAGGUGAGAGCUUGGAGGGAGGAGCGGGUCAAACGGAGCAAGCACGGAAAGAAAAGCGUGGCGUGAAUGCGAGGACCAAUUAGCAAAUUGGAUAAUUACGUCACUAUUGAUGGUGUGAUAAUGAAAACGAGGUAUAAAUC